AUUUUAAGUCAUGUGGUGUUAGAUUCGUUUUGAUAUUGUAACAAUAACAAUGGCUUAUUUGCCUUUUUGAGUCUUCACAUGAGUAUCCAUUUUGAAGGGGGAGCUUUAUUGCGAUGGUAGGAGUUGCUGCGGUUUCUGAUUAUGGAGGCCAAAUGUUCAAGUAGAAUAAACCAAUUGCAGAUGCAAGAGACAUAAUGAUCCGGUACUCAAACUGGGGAUAAUUCUGUUUGAAUUUCUCUGUGAAGCAUUAGGCCUCAAUGCCAGCUACCUUAAGGACUUGUGCAACAAGAGUUUUCUUAAUUUUCCUGAGCCAGAACUUCCCUGAGCUCAUUCUGACAGUAGCUUCCAUGGAAACCAGUGGGUUGAUGUCAAACGCAUUCCUGGUGCUUUUGUCUUUAAACUGGGUGACAUGAUGCAAAGUUCCGGCUCGAAAAUCUGGUCCACUAUUUUCAGUUGCUUGCUUUUUCCGGCAACAUCUUCCACCUGAGAAUUCAAACUAUAUGGACCUAUAAAGGAGUUGGUGACUCAAGAGAGGACCAUUGAAAAAUAGAUACUGCAAGGCUAUUUGGAAAUGUCUGGUUCAUUCUAAAGUGGUGGCUCUAGCGUGGAGGAUUGCUCAUAGGAGACUACCGAUUGCGGACAACUAGAUAAAAAGAGGUGUGGCACUUGGUCAAAACAGGGAGGGCCAUUGCUACUUCUGCAAACGACAUAUGGAGGAUGCGGCUCAUGUGUUCUUUGGUUGUGUUUUUUCCUAUAUAGCGUCUGGAUGGUAUGCUAUUCUUGGCUGGGGGUGAAAACUGUGCUCCCUUCGGAAUGUAGCUCUCAUUUCUUGCAUCGUGAGUCUUGGGGGAGAAAUAAAAGUCAGCGAGCGAUUUGGAGUGUUAUUUGGUUUGCUGGAAUUUGGAGCAUUUGGCUUCAUAGAAAUGCUGUGGUCUUUAAGGGGGAGCAGGUGAAUGCAGAAUCUGUUAUGGACAUGAUUAAAUUGAGGUCUUGGGUUUGACUUAAAUGAAAUCCUUGGUAAAGAGGUUUAACUGCUCAUUUUAUGAUUGGGAAAAAGAACCAUGGAUUGGGUUAUCUAAUACAUGAUGGGAGCAUGAAAAAGGCAUGGUAUUUACUGCUAUAACUUGCUGUAUUGUCUGCUAUGGCAUGUUCUGUGAGACAAAGUGAUGCAGUUAUUAAAGCUGAACUACUGGAGGUGACUUAUUGCUUUGAGGAUUGACUAGAUUUAUAUUAAAUAUGGCAGGUCCCUUAUGAGCUUUAAUCAUAUUUUGUGCCUCAUGGUGGAUCUUUGAAUCUACUUGUACAAGAUAUAUAUGUUUUUGAUAGAGUAUGCUUUCUUAUUGGGUGGGUUUUGGUUUGUUUGUAUCACCAUCCUGCCCAAUCUGUUCUGUAUCUUUAUAUACUUGGGUUCUAGCACCCCUUGUGCUAGCUUCUUAAUUCAUUUGACUUUUCA